UUUGUUUUGUUUUGUUUUGUUUUGUUUUGUUUUGUUUUGUUUUGUUUUGUUUUGUUUUGUUUUGUUUUGUUUUGUUUUGUUUUGUUUUGUUUUGUUUUGUUUUGUUUUGUUUUGUUUUGUUUCUCUGUGAGUCUAGGAUGUGGAGUUGUGGCCAACUGUUACAGGCAAGAUGGGAUGAACGCUAGGAGAAACAGAAGGAUAAAGAACUACAUGAGCUGAUGCAGCUGAGGAGACUGGGGAUUUCACAAGGAUGGCAAAUGAAGAAAAGCUUGCUUUUGCAUCCGGCAGGGAUUAUAUUUGUUAUGAGAUCAGAGAAAAUUCAAACAAAUAAAAACAAGCCAUUGCUAAAAACAACUGAAGAGUUAUGCAAUGAUGCAAAUGAAUGCGGAAGUACUUAGUUCUGUGGAUAACUGCCAUAGUAAAUCAUCUCUUGACUUCAGUGGAAAACAACACAUC